rnacentral:rRNA from 1 species
AGAAUCAACGCUGGCGGCGUGCCUAACACAUGCAAGUCGAACGAGAAAGUGGAGCAAUCCAUGAGUAAAGUGGCGCACGGGUGAGUAACACGUGACUAACCUACCUUUUAGUGGGGGAUAACCUAGGGAAACCUGGGCUAAUACCGCAUAACACUUACGAGUCAAAGCAGCAAUGCGCUGAAAGAGGGGGUCGCGGCCGAUUAGCUAGUUGGCGGGGUAAUGGCCCACCAAGGCAGUGAUCGGUAUCCGGCCUGAGAGGGCGCACGGGACACACUGGAACUGAAACACGGUCCAGACUCCUACGGGAGGCAGCAGUGGGGAAUUUUGCGCAAUGGGGGAAACCCUGACGCAGCAACGCCGCGUGGAGGAUGAAGUCCCUUGGGACGUAAACUCCUUUCGAUCGGGACGAUAAUGACGGUACCGGAAGAAGAAGCCCCGGCUAACUUCGCGCCAGCAGCCGC